GAUCAAGUGAUUGUUAAUAGAAGAAAAAUGAAUAUACAUGCCUGUAUAUUUUCUUGCAUCUUCUGUAUCUCAUCCGUGAAAUUUCUUUCGGAUUGAUCCCGUUGACGAAGCGACAGUGCCAUUCUUCGAUGCAAGACUGUCGACGUCUUUCAAGUUGGACAAUCCCAUUAUCCGUAACCUGCCGUCGGUGAAACUUGGAAAAGCCGGAAAUUCUUCUUUCUCAUCGAACAAUUCUUCCCUGAUGCAUUUGCAGUGUCGUCUUGCACGGUGAUACCGUUCGCUGUCGCCCUCGGACAAGGAUCUCCUUAUAGCGAAGAAUCUCUGGCGUCGAAAGGAAUGCACGAAAUUUGAGGGGAUAAUUUUUUCUUAAAUACACAGUAUAUCAUCGGUAUUCGGUCUCUAUAAAUAUCUCAUUACGCGAUCUAAAAGAAAACGAAAGCAAAAUUUUCUCCGAUGCCUUCCAAUGCUUUAUGUCCAAUUUCCCGAUGGUAUAUAUAUAUAUAUAUUCUGGACGGUUUCUUCGAGCUUUCAGAGAAAAUAUUAUUUUUCCUAUCGGACGGAAUAGAUCGCCAGAUGUAGUCGAAGGCGUGUGGCACGGUAACGAUUCAAGAUAAGAUUAACUUUAGAAGAGGAAACUGUUAAUAUGCAAGCCCGAGCAUCGACUGUCACGGAUCAAAGUAUGUUCAACGAGCAUCAGUGGAAUUGAGAUUUCAUAACUAAUCACUGGACUACCACUUGCACAAAUCAAGAUUAAUCUAAAAGAAGAGGAUUACGGCCUUGGUAUAGAAAAUAUAAAAAUAAAGCUUCCAAUCGAUCCAAUAUUUUGUUUGAAAAAUUCAUUAGUGAUUAAUGCUAUAUUGAAAUUAAAAAAUUGGAUUAAUUAGAGGUAUACAAAUUGCUAUAACAAAACUGUAACACUUUUCUUUUUGAUUUUGAUUCAUUUUAAGGAUAGAUAUGAUGUAUUUGAAGGAUUACCAACUUG